rnacentral:tRNA from 1 species
GGCCCGUUAGCUCAGUUGGUUAGAGCGUCGUGCUAAUAACGCGAAGGUCGUGGGUUUGAUCCCCCCACGGGCCA